rnacentral:rRNA from 1 species
CACGGGGGUUGCGAGCGUUGUCCGGAAUUACUAGGCGUAAAGGGCGCGCAGGCUGUUAUGCGAGUCUGCUGUGAAAUGUACCGGCUCAACCGGUGCCUUGCGGCGGAUACUGCAUAGCUGGAGUACUGUAGAGGCAAGCGGAAUUCCCAGUGUAGCGGUGAAAUGCGUAGAUAUUGGGAGGAACACCGGUGGCGUAGGCGGCUUGCUGGACAGUAACUGACGCUGAGGCGCGAAAGCCAGGGGAGCAAACGGGAUUAGAUA